AUGGACUCCAUUAAAGAUUGGUGGGGCCACAACACGUAUAGGAUGACGCAAUCCCGAAGGUCGCUCAUCUCCCUCAUGCUGCUCAUUUCAUGGGAGAUAUGGAAGGAACGGAAUGCAAGGGUAUUCCACGAUGCUGCGGUGCCGGUCGGAGUUAUUGUCAUAAAGAUAAAAGAGGAGUGUAGUCUGUGGUGUCUUGCUGGGGCUAAGCACUUGCGUAAAUUAAUGCCGCGAGAAUGA
rnacentral:rRNA from 1 species